rnacentral:miRNA from 1 species
UCCUGGAGUGGAGGACAGUCAGA